GAUGAACGCUGGCGGCGUGCCUAAUACAUGCAAGUCGAGCGAACAGACGAGGAGCUUGCUCCUCUGACGUUAGCGGCGGACGGGUGAGUAACACGUGGAUAACCUACCUAUAAGACUGGGAUAACUUCGGGAAACCGGAGCUAAUACCGGAUAAUAUAUUGAACCGCAUGGUUCAAUAGUGAAAGACGGUUUUGCUGUCACUUAUAGAUGGAUCCGCGCCGCAUUAGCUAGUUGGUAAGGUAACGGCUUACCAAGGCGACGAUGCGUAGCCGACCUGAGAGGGUGAUCGGCCACACUGGAACUGAGACACGGUCCAGACUCCUACGGGAGGAAGCAGUAGGGAAUCUUCCGCAAUGGGCGAAAGCCUGACGGAGCAACGCCGCGUGAGUGAUGAAGGUCUUCGGAUCGUAAAACUCUGUUAUUAGGGAAGAACAAAUGUGUAAGUAACUAUGCACGUCUUGACGGUACCUAAGCAGAAAGCCACGGCUAACUACGU
rnacentral:rRNA from 1 species